rnacentral:rRNA from 1 species
GAUGAACGCUGGCGGCGUGCCUAAUACAUGCAAGUCGAGCGAACGGACGAGAAGCUUGCUUUUCUGAUGUUAGCGGCGGACGGGUGAGUAACACGUGGAUACCUACCUAUAAGACUGGGAUAACUUCGGGAAACCGGAGCUAAUACCGGAUAAUAUUUUGAACCGCAUGGUUCAAAAGUGAAAGACGGUCUUGCUGUCACUUAUAGAUGGAUCCGCGCUGCAUUAGCUAGUUGGUAAGGUAACGGCUUACCAAGGCAACGAUGCAUAGCCGACCUGAGAGGGUGAUCGGCCACACUGGAACUGAGACACGGUCCAGACUCCUACGGGAGGCAGCAGUAGGGAAUCUUCCGCAAUGGGCGAAAGCCUGACGGAGCAACGCCGCGUGAGUGAUGAAGGUCUUCGGAUCGUAAAACUCUGUUAUUAGGGAAGAACAUAUGUGUAAGUAACUGUGCACAUCUUGACGGUACCUAAUCAGAAAGCCACGGCUAACUACGUG